GUCUACGGCUAUGCUACCCUGAACAAGCCCGAUCCCGUCUGAUCUCAGAAGCUAAGCAGGGUCGGGCCUGGUUAGUACUUGGAUGAGAGAUCACCUAUUUAUUAAAGGAAGGAAGGAA
rnacentral:rRNA from 1 species